AGAGUUUGAUCCUGGCUCAGGACGAACGCUGGCGGCGUGCCUAACACAUGCAAGUCGAACGGAACUUUUUUAAUUGAUUUCUUCGGAAUGAUUUUGAUUAAGUUUAGUGGCGGACGGGUGAGUAACGCGUGAGUAACCUGCCUCUGAGAGGGGAAUAACAUUCUGAAAAGAAUGCUAAUACCGCAUAAUAUAUAUUUAUCGCAUGAUAGAUAUAUCAAAGAUUUAUCGCUCAGAGAUGGACUCGCGUCCGAUUAGUUAGUUGGUGAGGUAACGGCUCACCAAGACCGCGAUCGGUAGCCGGACUGAGAGGUUGAACGGCCACAUUGGGACUGAGACACGGCCCAGACUCCUACGGGAGGCAGCAGUGGGGGAUAUUGCGCAAUGGGGGCAACCCUGACGCAGCAACGCCGCGUGAAGGAUGAAGGUCUUCGGAUUGUAAACUUCUUUUAUUAAGGACGAAUAAAGUGACGGUACUUAAUGAAUAAGCUCCGGCUAACUACGUGCCAGCAGCCGCGGUAAUACGUAGGGAGCAAGCGUUGUCCGGAUUUACUGGGUGUAAAGGGUGCGUAGGCGGCUUUGCAAGUCAGAUGUGAAAUCUAUGGGCUCAACCCAUAGCCUGCAUUUGAAACUGUAGAGCUUGAGUGAAGUAGAGGCAGGCGGAAUUCCCCGUGUAGCGGUGAAAUGCGUAGAGAUGGGGAGGAACACCAGUGGCGAAGGCGGCCUGCUGGGCUUUAACUGACGCUGAGGCACGAAAGCGUGGGUAGCAAACAGGAUUAGAUACCCUGGUAGUCCACGCUGUAAACGAUGAUUACUAGGUGUUGGAGGAUUGACCCCUUCAGUGCCGCAGUUAACACAAUAAGUAAUCCACCUGGGGAGUACGACCGCAAGGUUGAAACUCAAAGGAAUUGACGGGGGCCCGCACAAGCAGUGGAGUAUGUGGUUUAAUUCGA
rnacentral:rRNA from 1 species